GUUGAGGCACAGCUGUAUGAAGAGGCAUUUGCAAUUUUCAAGAAGUUUAACUUGAAUGUUCAAGCUGUCAAUGUCUUGUUGGAUAACAUUCAAAGUAUUGAAAGAGCUGUAGAGUUUGCGUUCCGGGUUGAAGAAGAUGCAGUUUGGAGCCAGGUGGCAAAGGCUCAACUGAGGGAAGGAUUGGUGAGCGAUGCUAUUGAGUCUUUUAUCCGUGCAGAUGAUGCCACUCAAUUUCUGGAAGUCAUUCGUGCCGCUGAGGAUGCAAAUGUGUAUCAUGACUUAGUUAGGUACCUUUUGAUGGUUAGGGAGAAGGCCAAAGAGCCCAAGGUGGACAGCGAGCUGAUAUAUGCCUAUGCUAAAAU
rnacentral:misc_RNA from 1 species